rnacentral:rRNA from 1 species
UACGUAGGGUGCAAGCGUUGUCCGGAAUUAUUGGGCGUAAAGAGCUCGUAGGCGGUUUUGUCGCGUCUGCUGUGAAAACCCGAGGCUCAACCUCGGGCCUGCAGUGGGUACGGGCAGACUAGAGUGCGGUAGGGGAGAUUGGAAUUCCUGGUGUAGCGGUGGAAUGCGCAGAUAUCAGGAGGAACACCGAUGCGAAGGCAGAUCUCUGGGCCGUAACUGACGCUGAGGAGCGAAAAGCAUGGGGAGCGAACAGG